rnacentral:rRNA from 1 species
GUGAGGAAUAUUGCGCAAUGGAGGCAACUCUGACGCAGCCAUGCCGCGUGCAGGAAGAAGGCGCUACGCGUUGUAAACUGCUUUUAACCGGGAAGAAACCCCGGGACGUGUCCUGGGUUGACGGUACCGGAGGAAUAAGCACCGGCUAACUUCGUGCCAGCAGCCGCGGUAAUGCGAAGGGUGCAAGCGUUAUCCGGAUUCAUUGGGUUUAAAGGGUGCGUAGGCGGAGCGUUAAGUCAGUGGUGAAAUCCUGCAGCUUAACUGUAGACUUGCCAUUGAGACUGGCGCUCUUGAGUGCGCUUGAAGUGGGCGGAAUGUGCCGUGUAGCGGUGAAAUGCUUAGAUAUGGCACAGAACACCAAUUGCGAAGGCAGCUCACUAAGGCGAUACUGACGCUGAGGCACGAAAGCGUGGGGAUCGAACAGGAUUAGAAACCCGUGUAGUCC